UAUAAGAUUAUUAAGGGUUUGGACACGCUAGAUGCAGGAAACAUGUUCCCGAUGUUCGGGGAGUCCAGACCAGGAGUCACAGUUUAAGAAUAAGGGGUAAGCCAUUUAGAACUGAGAUACUUUCAAGAGAGAGCUAAAUAGGGCUUUUCAAGAUAGCAGAGUCAGGGGAUAUGGGGAGAAGACAGGAACGGGGUACUGAUUGGGAAUGAUCAGCCAUGAUCACAUUGAAUCACAGAGGGUAGUCGAGGCCAGUUCAUUGGCUAUAUUUAAGAGGGAGUUAGAUGUGGCCCUUGUGGCUAAGGGGAUCAGAGGGUAUGGAGAGAAGGCAGGUACGGGAUACUGAGUUGGAUGAUCAGCCAUGAUCAUAUUGAAUGGCGGUGCAGACUCGAAGGGCCGAAUGGCCUACUCCUGCACCUACUUUCUAUGUUUCUAUGAAUGGCGGUGCAGGCUCGAAGGGGGAGAAAGGCCACCUGCACCUAUUGUCUAUAGUGAUAUGGGGAAAAGGUAGUAUUGUGGAUGAUCAGCCAUGAUCACAUUGAAUGGCGGUGCUGGUUCGAAGGGCUGAAUGGCCUACUCCUGCACCUAUUGUCUAUGUAUAUAUAUAUAUAUCUAAGAGAGAUAGAUCAACCAUGAUUGAAUGGUGGCGUAGACGUGAUGGGCCGAAUGCUGUUAUGACCUUCCUUCCCUAUAGGGACUAUUUAUAAUUUUACCGAAGCCAAUCAACUUAAAAAACCUUCAUGUCUUUGGAGUGGGUGGAAAUCGGAGCAUCAGGAAAAAAUCAUGGGAGGAUAUUGGCGGAGGAGUGGGGUUGUAACACUAUAACAAUCCACUUCCUAGGCAAAUAUAUCCUUCCUUUAGGAUAGGAAAUGAAAUGUAAAACAAUGUUCAAAAGGGCGGCGCAGUGGUGGAGUUCCUGCCUUGCAGCGCCAGAGACCCGGUUCGAUCCCGACUACGGCUGCUGACUGUCGGGAGUUUGCACGUUCUCCCCGUGACCGCGUGGGUUUUCUCCGAGAUAUUUGGUUUCCUCCCACACUCCGAUAGACGUACAGGUCUGUAGGUUAGUUGGCCUGGUAUAAAUGUAAAUUGUCCUGAGUGUGUGUAGGGUAGUGUUAAUGUGCGGGGGAUCGCUGGUCGGCAUGACGGUGCGGACUCGGUGAGCCGAAGGGCCUGUUUCCGGGCUGUAUCUCUCCGGGUAAGAGGUCACCCGAGCUCUGCCGAGGUGAAGCGCAAUGUACAGUAUUUCAUUGCCUUUGAUAUGUUCUUGUACUUUUCACCUUUUAAAAAUCCUCAAAAUUCUGAAACAAUUCCCAAAGUUUGAACUUUUCCCCAAAAAACCUCUUUCAGCUGUGUAUUGGGAAAAAAUUGUGUCCAAUGCCCAUUAAUUUAAGAGCGAGUAUCUUUCAGGUAUGCUCCGAUGUUAAACGAAACCCCCAAUCCUUCAAAGUUAAAAAUGAAUUGCCUUUGGAUGGUAGUCGUACUUGCAAGCAUCAUCAAAUUAGGAGGUAGCCUGAAGUGCUAUGAGAAUAGCAUCGCCCCUUUGCACUGCGAAAUGAAGGAGGUGACCUGUGAGACUAGUGAUCGAUGCUUCAAGAGGGUGGGUAAAUUAGAGAAGUUGAUGAUUGCGGCCCGUGGAUGCAUUCCACAAUCAAAUUGCGGGAGAACUGUUUCGAACACGUUUGCUGGAAUGGCAAUUAAUCUGAAAACAACAUGUUGUGUAAAAGAACUGUGUAAUGGAGGCAAGGAUAUGACGGCACCUCUUGCACUGGGCUCUGUGCUGCUGCUUGGCUGCUUCUUGUAUGUUAACAUGUAAUCAUGACUACUGUAAACCCUUGUUAUAUUGGACCAGAGAGGAGGAGGGGGAAUGGUAUCCGUUAUUGCCAAAUGUUUGCUACAACCGAGUAAGUAAAGUAUUAUUAAAUGUAGUUGA